GAGGAAAUCGCGAUGAGCAUAAUUUAAUUGACCGGACAUUGUCGCGUGGGUACCCUUUGACUUCUUCACUCACAAUCAACUCCACAACUCCUCCAUUUAUAUUCUUGGUAAUUUCGGCUUCAUCGGCAUACGCCAGCCCAGCCUGUGCCUGCGAGUCUUAUAUGUAUGUACGAGUAUAUUAUGUCGGCGGAAUUAAACCGAAUAAACGCAUCGAAACCGCGAAACAGAAACAACAGAGGAAACUGAGACUGAGAGAGCAGAGAGCCGGUAACGAGUUUAAUUAAUGUAGACGAUUUACUCGUAGUUCUCGGCUGUACCGGUUGGUAGCGUGAGUUGUUUAAGUAGUUGGGUAAACCGGCAUGGGCAUGUACAAGUGGAUGGCUUAGAAGAUUAUGUCAGAGAGAGCAAACAACACAGAUGCAGAAGCUCAACAUACUAUUGUGGUAAUGCGGUAUUUGCAUCUACGUAUAUAAAAUACUUACUCUUUCGCGUGCUGAGUUUGUUCUUUAUUUCGUGUAUUUUUUUUACAUUUUGUUUUCGGUGGUGGUGUUUGUUUUCGCGAUCGAGUUUUUUUUCACUUUACAAGACCUCAAAAGUGCCGCGUUAACGUGUAUUUAUUCGGUGUGUCCCUCCACCCUCCCCCUCCCUCUCACUCGACAACCCCGCGUGUACCUAUCGAAAGUGCUUAAUUAACAUGUACGGUUUUUUUUCUUCUUCUUUAGUGGCUAUUAGCACCCAGUAGUGUUGUGUGUUGCUAUAGGAUUGUUGUUUUCUUUCUACAUUCAUCGGCCCCCAAAAAAGGAUAAAUGAACUUUUGAAGGUAAGUGAAAAAUAGAAAUGAAAUAUUUGAGCUUCAGUAAAGCUUGGAAGUGGUAAGUGUUACAGAUCAGCUUCUUCUUUCUCCAUUUUUUUAUUGCCUACUUUAAGGCAAUUUAUUUUCUGAAUUUUAUGGUCCAGAAAUCGUGAUUUUGACCCAGGAAAACCAUGAAUUUAAAAUGGCUUUUAUUUAGAUUGAAUUUUUAUCUCGAGAAAAGAAUUCACAAAGAGAUGAUACCCACUAAGUAUCCCAAAACAUUGGGAUAAUUUUUUCAUGUUGUAGUAAGACGUGAUGAAUUUUGACCUUCAGAUUACAUUUUGACGCUAUUACCAAAAAAUAAAAAUAAAAAUAAAAAAAAAUAAUAGAAAUACUCAUUGUUAAGUAUGAAAUUAAAAUUAAUUUCAGCUCUUUUAAUUUCCAAAAUUCGUACAAAUUAAAUAAAAAACAUGUACUAAAACCAUCCAAUAAAUCACCUUCUCCUCUGUUUCUUUUCCUACGUAAAAUAGUACCUACUUACUUAUAACAUCGUUAAUUUCAUUCUCAGUUUAAUGCUACGUUCUUCUAUUAUAUGUACCUGUAUGCGGUCAUUUUUGGCAUAAAAUUUAUCACGUUUCUUCGAAAUUUUUUCCCCACUUUAUAUAGUGUGUACAAAGCUUUUAUGAACUUGACCAGGUACGACCAUGGCGCGGUAUAGUUAAUUAAAACCGAAGGUUAUCUAAGGAAGGUUUAAACAAUAAAAAUGAAAUUCUUCAACAUUACGAUGCGGGUGACACUUGGAAAAUUUCACGUACAGCUCACGUAUUGACAUUCUCGUAAUGUGAAUUUUGCUGUAUACAAGGUGUCCUCAUGUACCUAAAAAAAAGAGGACAUUAAAUCGUAAUUCAUCAUUAUCAUCGGCAAUCGUGAGAAAUUUGUAAAAGUGUUUCGUUUUAAAUAUAUAUAUAUAUUUGUAUUAUUCAGAAAUUACACAAUUUUUCUACGCUUUUUUUGUGGACCACCCUGUAGAUAAUAAGCCAAUAUGUGUUCUUGAUACUUACCUGAUGUAGCUGUGAGUAAACAAUGUAAAUGCAGGUAGUUUGUGAGGAAUAUCUUACAAGUACCCAACUACCUAUGCUAGUAGAAGUAAAGUACACAUAAUAAUUUGGAAGACGGUCUCGUAUAUUAUAUGCUUCUAAACUAAUAAAAAAAAUGACGCGUAUAUUACGUGAAGUGAUUAUUAUAAAGUUGUAUAAUAUAAUAGGAGCCCUUGAGUACGUACAAAUAGGCAGAGAGGUAUACAUACGUAGCCAUACAUAUACGCAUAAUACGCUAUGGAAAAAUAAAAUAAAAGAAGACUAUGUAGAAAAAAUGAAGAGUAAAGAAAGAAAGAAAAAAACUAUUAUAGAAUCGAAUCACGCCUCUGGAUAUACCGAUUUGUUGGCUGAUUGCCGCGCUUUGACAGCAAUAGCGUGCGAAGAGUAGCCGCCAUACAUAAGUAGCAGAUUCUGCAGGUAUCUAAACACUAAACAGUAUAUAAACAGGGUGCAGAGUACACACAGGUUCUCGGAAGCUGUCGUGGUGAUGGGACCUUUUGAAGGAGGAAAUACGUAUAGUGAUGUAAGUAGAUCCUUUGGUGAGAUGCGGGUUAUGACAGGCAACGGGGAAACAGAUGCGGGAAGUUGGCGAAUUAGUGUAACUGAAAACUGCAGAAGAUAGUGUUCGUCGUCGUGGGAUACGAGUACAUAUUACUAUUAGGUAAGACCUACAUAUGUGUGCAUGUUUCAAAUCCACUCGAUCAGGAUGAAGGCGUGACAAAGAUGUAAGAUGGAUCAGUGCUCUGCAAAGUACUUGUAAUAUUUUAUCGUUUGUGAGAUAUGGUACUGAGUGGGUGAAGAGGAAGACAACAGAUUCGAAUACUGGGCGUUUGAAAAUUGGGUGAAUGUUAAUAUACAGGGUGUCCUGUCGAACGUUUGAGGUAUCUUGAAUUUUUACAUACAUUAAGGGGUGGGAGGAGUUUGAAAAUUUUAUUGAUAUGAAUUCUCUCUUUUGAAUUUCUAAUCACUUAAUGAGCAAUUGUUUUAUGUAGGUAAUUAGGUAUUGAAAUUUCACUGUAAAAAAAAAUAAUAAUAAGUAUAAUUUGUUUAAAUUUUUAAAAACCACCUGCUCGAGUUAAAUCAAAAAAAAAAAUCCGCAGAAAAAUUUCAAAAAUUCCGAAUUAAAGGAGGUUGAAAAAUAAUCUAAAAAAUUUGUAAUUAUUUCUGAAAAAAAUUCUGCCAAUAAUGGAAAUAUUUUGCACCGACAAUGACACACUCUGAUUUGAUCGAAACCUAGUUAGAUUGAAAAAGCAUGUCCUAACCCUCCCCCACCCAAAUUUCAAAAACUGAAGUUCAUUUUUGGAUUUUUUGUGAAUUUUAAAAAUCGAGGAAGUUAUUUACUUACUUAUGUAUUUUUACUAAUUUUUCAAAGUUUUUCGCAAAAUAUAUUUUUUUCACGUAUUAAUAAUUUCCUUUGAACUUCCCCCCUCCCCCCUCCCCCAUUUUAGAAGAUACCAGUUUUAUGUGCUUUUGAAACCUCUUAAUCUUCUCCAUAAAUUUCAAAUUCCACCAGAAGGAGCAAAGAUGAACUUCGGAGUAAUUUUAAAUUUCGAAAAAAAUUUAAAAUGUCAAGUUGAGGGAGAAGUAAUAAGUACUUCCAGGCAUGAAACAAGGUCACUUAAAAAGUGACUUUGUCACUAUUUCACGUGCAAGUCACUUUUUGUCACUAUUUCGGCAAAAAUGGCCAAAAAAAGUGACUUUGGUCACUUUUUCAACGAUUUGUCGUAUUCUAAAAUUUAAAAAACAAAAAAUAAACUCCUUGCAUUUAAAAAACCUCGUUUUUAGGCAUCUCGAAAUGAAAAUUCUCAAAAGCUUUCGCCCUCGCUUCGCUCGGGCCAAUUUGUUUUUCUUUCGAACAUAGGACCCAAGAUGAUAUCUGCUCCAAAGUUUGCACGUUCAGUAACGAAAAUAACAUUUUUUUUACACCUUUCAAGUUUGGAUUUUCCAAAAUUUUCGCCCUCGCUCCGCUCUGACAAAAUGUUCACUGUUUCAGACCUAUUUUAUUCAACGUAUUCGGCUCAAUUUAGUGUAGUGUAGGUGCAAGUUGAUUAUUUUUUAGUCAUAAAACUGUAAAUUUUUCAAAAUUUUGUUUAUCUUCUUACGAAUACAUAGUUAAGUUGACUUAAUUCAGCAUACAAAUUCUAAUUUAGUUCAGUAAAUGAACUUAAUGCUCUCAUUUCAAUUUCGUCAAAUUGUUCAAUUUUUUAAGAAAUCAGCAACUUUUUGCGUUUUUCCCCCUCAAAAGUUGAAGAAUUUGUCAUUUUUAAACCGUCCUCAAAAUGACAACAUUGUCUAAAAUAUUCAAGGUAAAAAAAUUUUAAAACAGUACACAUGAUUUUAUUUCUUCGCCACAAAUCUCCUCCCCCCAAUCAUCGCCCCAAAAAAACUGGCAUCGCAUCAGCACCGGCGCCAAAUCCCGGUAACUUUGAAGUGCCCCAUCAGCCCCUGGGUAUACAUCAACACUUUGCUACGCUCAUAUGGUGGGGGGGGGGUACUAAACAAAUUCUUCGAUGAUUGCUACAUAAUAUAUACGAGUACUUUGCUCACGUUUCUCAAAAUUUAGGUCACUUUUUUCAAAUUUUUGGUCACUUUUUUGCUAUUUUUCAGUCACUAAAGUCACUAAAAAAAAUAAAAUAGUGAGUUUCAUGCCUGUACUUCUUCACACUUCCCCUCCCACUUUUCUAAUAAACUAUCCUCAGGAAGGUGCAGAAAUAAACUUCAAACAAUUUUAAAUUUACGGAGAAGAUUCAAGACUCAAAAUGGAGGGUGGGAGGUGGAGGGGGGUUUGGAAAGCAAUUUAAAAACUACCAAUUUUUUAGGCCAUUCUGAAGCCUCAAAUGAAUUUUUAAAUUUUCUUCUGAAAUUUCAAAUUGCUUUGAAAGGAGAAAAAAUAAACUUCGGGGUAAUUUGUAAUUUGAAAUUUCUGGAGAAAUUCAAAGGAGAGUAGGGGAGGUGGGAAGGAAGUGAACUUUUUUUCCACUACUCCUCCCAGCACUACUUCAAUUUUAUCCAGAAAUUUCAAAUUGCCUCAAGUUCAUUUUUUUCUCUCAUUUCAAAGCAAUUUGAAAUUUCUGGAGAAAAUUCAAAGAGGAGUGGUGGAGAUGGAGGGGAAGUAAGCUUUCCUUUCCACUACUCUUCCCACUACUAAAACUACCAGAUUUAAGCCAUCUCGGAGCCUCCGACGAGUCUUCAAUUUUGCUCCAGAAAUUUCAAAAGCUCUGGAAAGAGUAAAAAAUGAGCUUCCGAGCAAUUUUAGGUAAAUUUCUGAAGAAAAUCGAGAACUCGAAGUAGGAGAGGGAGAAGGCUUGGAAACUGAUACUUGCUACCUUUCCCUCCCUCCCUCCCUCCCUCCCUCCCUCCCACCCACCCUUCCUCCCUCCCUCCACUUCAAAAACGACCAUUUUUGGGCCAUUCUGAUUUUCUUCAUGAAUUCCAAAUUGUUCUGAAAGGAGAAAAAUAAAGUUCAGAGCCAUUUUAAAUUUCUGGAGAAAAAUCAUUACCCGAUGUGGAUGGAGGAGUAGAGGAUAGGGAGGAAUAAUUACGUCUUUUUUACCCCUUCCCCUCCCCUCACUUUGAAAAUCACUAGUUUUAAGUCAUUUUGGAGCUUUCAACGAGUUUUCAAUUAUUUUCUCCAGAAAUUUUUAAUUGAUCUGGAAGUACCAAGAAUAAACUUUGGCAAUUAUAACUUUGGCAGGUCCUUAUUGGACAUAUUUUUGCCUGUUUUAGGUGAUUACUGCAAAAUUCCAGGUGUGUCAGUCUAAAAUUGAUUUUUUUAAUCAAUUUGUAUAGGUAAAUUCAAAAAAAAAAAAAAAAAAAAAUGAGAAAACACGAUUUUACAGUAAACAUUUUAACAA